rnacentral:rRNA from 1 species
CAGUCGCCACGGUAAUACAGAGGGUGCGAGCGUUAAUCGGAUUUACUGGGCGUAAAGCGUGCGUAGGCGGCUUCUUAAGUCGGAUGUGAAAUCCCUGAGCUUAACUUAGGAAUUGCAUUCGAUACUGGGAAGCUAGAGUAUGGGAGAGGUUGGUAGAAUUCCAGGUGUAGCGGUGAAAUGCGUAGAGAUCUGGAGGAAUACCGAUGGCGAAGGCAGCCAUCUGGCCUAAUACUGACGCUGAGGUACGAAAGCAUGGGGAGCAAACAGGAUUAGAUACCCCAGUAGUCCCUGUCUUAUACAC